rnacentral:lncRNA from 1 species
GGUAGAGACACCCGUUUCUUGGGAAGCUGGUGACACUGUUAAUUCAUUUCACACCAGCUUGACAGCAGCAGCUGGGUGGGAGUCAGAGAUGAGUGAUGGGAAAGCAAUAGGAUUUCCUCUCUCCUGAGAGAGCCAGUUACCCCCACCCCCGGUGUUAUUUCAGUUUUAAACAUCCUGAUACACUCAAGUCAGAACUCAAUAUUAGACGUAACAUGGCACUUAAUUUUACCAGUUUGUCACACUUUCUGUUCUUAUGUGCUCUUGUUUAUCUACUAGGUAGCGAUUCUCAAACUUUAAUGCAACCAUCACCUGACGGGCCUGGUAAAAUAGAGCGUGCUGGGCCCCGUCCACCCAAACUGCUGAUUCAGUGGCUGUGGUGUGGGCACAAGAAUUCGCAUUGCCAACAAGUUGCCAGGAGAUACUGCUGCUGCUGACCUGGGCCCACUCCUUGAGAGCCACUGUGUGAAGACACUAAGCAUAGCUCUUUGUGGUCAUUGGGCAAGUAGAUUUAGAGUUCUUAAAAUAGCAGGAAUUACAGCUGCCAUUCACCGUGACCUGUGAUCGACUGCCUACCUCCUUUGGUGAGGUCUUCUUCUGCAAGACAGUAUGCAAGGGUGUGUGUGUGUGUGUGUGUGUGUGAACAAAGACUUCUGAGCCCAUGACCUCUGGGGGUUCUUCAGAGACCUCUGCUUUUCUAUACAAGCAGGAGGUGAAAAGUUCCUGGCCCUGAUAUGGCUGGGAGAAAGUCACUUACUCUUUUUCUAUUGUUUGUUUCAUGUGAUCAAAAGGAAAAAUGAUAUUGUCUCUACUGCUCAGGAGUGCAUGGGAAUUAAUUAAAACCUAUUAAAACCUUUGAUUUCAUUCAUACAGUUCAAUUAAAAAUAUUAAUUGAAUAUCUACUUUAUGCCAACUUUGUUCUACAUGCUGGAGACACAGUAGUGAACAGACUAAAGUAAGCUCCUGAUCAAGCGGAACCUAUUUUCUAGUGGCAGGGAUAGGAAAUAAACACACAGAAGGGUCAAUAUGAUGUGAGUCCAAUGGCAACAGAUGAUAUGGGGGAAAUAAAGUUGAGUGUGGGAGACAGGGUGUGGUGGGAUUGGAAGUAUUUGCCAUUUAUGUGCGUGCAUGUGUGUUUGUGCAUGUGCACACAUGCAGUGGUCAGGGGGCAUCUCCAAGAAAGUGACACUCAGGUGUAGACUUGAAGGAAGUGAGGGAGUGAGCCAUGUGGAAAUGUAGAGGAAGAGUGCUCCAGGCAGAAGAAACAGCACAUGCAAAGGCCCUGAGGUGAGAGCACCGUUGGUAUUUCAAGGAAUAGCCAAGAAGCUAGUGUGGCUGCUGUGGAGUAAUGAAAAGGAGAGGGUGCGAGAGAAAUUCAGAGAGGUAACCAGAGCCAGAUUGUAUAGGACCUUGUAAGCUAUUGUAAAGAUUUUGGUGAGGUGGGCAUCAUUGGAGGGUUUUGAGGGGAGGAGGGGGGCAGCCAGAUUUGCAUAUGAAAAGGCUUUUCCUGGCUGCUGAGUGGAGCCUGCUGUUGUAGGGGAUUGAUGGGGGAGGCAGGAAGCCCAGUUAGGAUGCAGUUUCAAUAACCAAGGCAAGUGGUGAUAGUUGAAGGGAUCAGGAUGGACAGGUGAAGGUGGCAGGUGAUGGGGUUUUGAAGGAAGAGCCAAUAAGCUUUACUCCUUUAGAUGCAAGGCAGGAGAGACAGGAUCAAGGAGGUCUCCAGGAUUUUCAACUGGAAGAACAGAGUUGCCGUCAACCGAGUCGGAGAACCCUUCACAAGAAGCAGACCUGUGGUCCGGCUGAUGCCAGGAGCCAAAGGAAACGUCACAAGAAAAGGAAAGCAAUAUAGGAUAUCAAAGAAAAUGAGCCAAAUCCUACCACCUCAACAGAGCUGAUAUCUUUAGUUUCCCAUGAUUCUUUCCGUUUCAUAUUCAUAUCCACUCCUAGUUUCCCACCAGGAGUAGUUAACAUUAUUGAGUGGCUAGUAUAGGAGACAGGCAUAUGAUAAGCAUUUCUCAAGCAUUAUCUCCUUGAAUCCUCACAACACCCCAGAAUAAAGAUGACAAAAGCUGAGCCAGGUAGGGUAACGCGCAGCUAGUGAGGGGCGGAGCUGGACAUUUCACCCAGGACUGUCCAACUGCAAAAUCCCCAGUUAUUCCCUACUAUGCUGCAUUUCUUUGUUUCACAUAUAUAUAUACAUAAAACCGGAGAACCCUAAAUCUUACAGCUUUUGGGGCCAACCUUUCCUUUCUCUUGUGCUGAGAGAAUCCCUCACCUUCCACAAUAUUCCCACAUGCGUCCAGGGAUCACUUCCCUGAAAUGUCUCAAAUAGGGAAGGCAGAGAUCCCCAGGGACAAAUGUGUGGUCCACAAGGAGGUGUACUGACUUGUUACAGCAUGGGACAGUGCUCCGGGGACCAGGGAGUGCUUCAUCGGACGCAGGAAGCCACCAGCUUGUUACAGGACUUGGGAAAAUGGUGGGAUUCAGCUAAAAUUCAAAUGAAGCUGUGUUUUAAUGCCCUCAAAGCAAAUAGCGCUGUGUAUAAAGGAAUUAACACCAGCCUGGGCCGAGGGGCAGACUGAGUCCUGUUUCCUUGGAAGCUAUAGGGUCAGGAGAAUGUAGCAUCCAAAAACCCCUUAUCUGAAGCUCUGCAGCUGGGUUGCAAAUCCGGGCUCCUUCUCUGUGUCCAAGACGGCUCGGCUCCCCAAGGGUCACAGAAUGCAGCUGGCUUCGCCUUGUUCCCGUCUUUCCGAGCUCUCUCACCCUGCUCUGGUCCUGCGUCUGUCCAUUCCCAUAAGUUCCACUUACAUUGGGCUGCCGAUCGAUGCUUGUUUGCAUGCUUGGGGUCAUGGCGUGGCAUUACAGGACAAUGAAGAUGACAGUGCGAUGUUGCUCUAUCAAGAUGACUGUCUUAAAAAUUGCUUCCUGACUCCAGGUAAGUUGCCCAUUGGCCAGUCUUGCUUCCUGCCAUUCAUUUCGGCUUCUGUCCCCUUCUCGGGAUUCUUCUCUCCUAGGCCUCUUCUCCCCCAGUUUGGGGCUUCUUACUGUUCCACUCAACACAAUAUGCUUAAAUACGCCCUGCCUUCUUAGGCAGGGUGGUUCCACUCUUUCUUUCCCUUCUCCUUCCAAAUCAUGAUGGUGGCUGAUGGCUCCUUUCCUUUCCCGGGUAAAGGGCCUCCUCAAGGUGGAGUGGUGGGACAGGCGCCUGGCUGCGAGGGCUCAAGAAAGCAUGGGAGAGAGGGAGGGGAGGGGCUCAGAGGGUCUCUAUGGUACGCUCAUAGAAGAGACUAACUCCUCUGGUGCCAGAUACGCCAUCACGAUAGGCGCUGAAGAUGCAAACACAGGUGUAGCUUGUUUGUAUUUAAAACACAUUCUCAGAGUUGCGAUAGCAUUAUAUUAAAAAGAUUUACCUGGUUUAGAAUUGAUGCGCCCAGGAUGAGGAUCUGGUGUCCUCUAUCUUGAAGACAGACUUGGGAGGAACGAAUUGGAAAGAGGCGGCUUAAGCGAUGGUGUUAUCUACGCUGAGCAGGGAGCCAGAAUUUCUCACGCUUGGGCACAUGCCUUGAGUAAUUGAAGAGCUCCAGCUGGGCUGCAGGGCUGACCUAAUCCAAGCAAGGAAACCAGCAGGCACUCAUCUCACAGAGCUGCCACUCAUCUAUUGAAGACAAUUUUUAUGGAGGGCGUACCUGGUGCCUCGGACUGUGCAAGGCUUAUUGAUAACAGCGCUCCAGUCUCCCUGGGCCGCUGAUCAGAUUAAUGUAAGUGAUUAGCAAUGAUUGUGGUAAGAGCUGAGGACGGCUGCUUGUCUACACUGUUGUGAAACGGAUAUGGGCUUUUACCGUCAAAGCUGUCCCGUCUUUAAACAAGAGUCAGAACGGACAGCAGAAUCUGACUUCUGAUGGGCUCCAGAGAACCGCUGCUACAUGUUUAUUCAAAUAACAGUCCUGAUCUGAACAGUAAUUUGGCUCCAGCAUCCAUGGAAGGCAAGAUGGAAGCUCUGCUCUUCUAGGCUUCUGGCAACUUUGAUUAGAAAUCCAUCAGAGCUCAUAUCCUCAUCUUCUUCUUGUUGCCUCUUUCCAUGUUCCUGAUAUUGCCCAGGAGUCCAGGCUGCUUCAGCCUUAAUGACAUGCAGACAUUCUGAAAAUACAUCAGACGCACCCGGCCUAAUAUGGAUGAUCAGCCCAGGAAACGGGAGCACGGAGAGUGACAGCCACACAGGUCUCACGGCUGUUAUAGGAGGAAGAAAGGACUGCCACUGGGGACCGUGGACCUCCAGUCCUGGGUUCUUCCUGCUCCAGCCACAGCCCCUGAACCGCUUAUUUGUACUUCUUUACCAGCAUUAACUUAGGGGUUCCCCACGUGUGUUAAUGGUCAUUGUCACCUUCUCACUUACCUUCUCUUUGCUGCAUACAGUAAUAUGCCCUGAAGAGAAAAUACUCCUAGGACUAGAGGAAGAGUUUAUUACGCUAUAGACAAACACUUUCUAGAAAGACCAUGCAAUGAUCACCAUGAAAGUU